rnacentral:rRNA from 1 species
UGCCUAACACAUGCAAGUCGAACGCUCGUAGCAAUACGGGAGUGGCAGACGGGUGCGUAACGCGUGGGAACCUGCCCAGAGGUUCGGAAUAACUGCGGGAAACUGCAGCUAAUACCGAAUGUUGCCUGAGGGCUAAAGGAGUAAUUCGCCUUUGGAGGGGCCCGCGUCCGAUUAGCUAGUUGGUGGGGUAACGGCCUACCAAGGCGACGAUCGGUAGCCGGCCUGAGAGGGUGUACGGCCACACUGGGACUGAGACACUGCCCAGACUCCUACGGGAGGCUGCAGUCGAGAAUCUUUCGCAAUGGGCGAAAGCCUGACGAAGCAACGCCGCGUGUGGGAUGAAGGUCUUCGGAUUGUAAACCAC